AGAGAGAGACAUGCGCGCAUAUCAAUAAGCGGAGGAAAAGAAACUAACAAGGAUUCCCUUAGUAACGGCGAGUGAAGCGGGAAGAGCUCAAAUUUGAAAUCUUCAAGGUUUUACCUUGACGAAUUGUAGUUUAAAGAAGUGUUUUCUGCUGAAGUUUUGGUAAAAGUUCUUUGGAAUAGGACAUCAUAGAGGGUGAGAAUCCCGUAUUUGACCAUUAUUUUCAGCUUUGUGAUACACUUUCAAAGAGUCGGAUUGUUUGGGAAUGCAGUCCAAAAUGGGUGGUAAAUUUCAUCUAAAGCUAAAUAUUGGCGAGUAGACCGAUAGCGAACAAGUACCGUGAGGGAAAGAUGAAAAGAACUUUGAAAAGAGAGUUAAACAGUACGUGAAAUUGUCAAAAGGGAAGCGUUUGACACCAGUGUUGUUUUCUCGUAAAUCAAUCAAAAAUGGCUCGAUUUUGUAUUGUUGAGACCUUAAAAGCUCACUGUACAUUUUUCGUGUCUUUUUUAAUGCACUUUUCGUUUAACAAGUCAACAUCAGUUUCUUUUGUUGUAAAAGGGUCAUUGGAAGGUGGCUUUCUUUUCGGAGAAAGUGUUUAUAGCCUUUGGCCUCUGCAAUCGGAAGAGACUGAGGUCUGCAGCGUAGACUCUUCGGGGUUAGAUACAUUUGUGCUAAGUUAUAGCUUUUUAUAGACAACUUGUUGACUAUAAUUAGUCUUGUAGCUUACUCGCUUAUGCUAUUUUACCUACGCUUAGGAUGUUGAAGAUGUAGCACAUCAU
rnacentral:rRNA from 1 species